AUAGAUAGAUAGAUAGAUAGAUAGAUAGAUAGAUAGAUAGAUAGAUAGAUAGAUAGAUAGAUAGAUAGAUAGAUAGAUAGAGUGAAAGGUGCUAUAUAAUUGAUAGAUAGAGUGAAAGGUGCUAUAUGAUAGAUAAAUAGAUAGAUAUAGUGAAAGGUGCUAUAUAAUUGAUAGAUAGAUAGAGUGAAAGGUGCUAUAUAAUUGAUAGAUAGAGUGAAAGGUGCUAUAUGAUAGAUAGAGUGAAAGGUGCUAUAUAAUUGAUAGAUAGAGUGAAAGGUGCUAUAUGAUAGAUAGAGUGAAAGGUGCUAUAUAAUUGAUAGAUAGAUAGAUAGAUAGAUAGAGUGAAAGGUGCUAUAUGAUAGAUAGAUAGAUAGAUAGAUAGAUAGAUAGAUAGAUAGAUAGAUAGAUAGAUAGAUAGAGUGAAAGGUGCUAUAUGAUAGAUAGAUAGAUAGAUAGAUAGAUAGAGUGAAAGGUGCUAUAUGAUAGAUAGAUAGAUAGAUAGAGUGAAAGGUGCUAUAUGAUAGAUAGAUAGAUAGAUAGAUAGAUAGAUAGAUAGAUAGAUAGAUAGAUAGAUAG